UACGUAGGUGGCAAGCGUUGUCCGGAUUUAUUGGGUUUAAAGGGUGCGUAGGCGGCCCUGUAAGUCAGCGGUGAAAUACGGCAGCUCAACUGUCGAGGUGCCGUUGAUACUGCGGGGCUUGAGUGUUGAUGAGGCAGGCGGAAUUGACGGUGUAGCGGUGAAAUGCUUAGAUAUCGUCAAGAACACCGAUAGCGAAGGCAGCCUGCCAAGCAACAACUGACGCUGAGGCACGAAAAGUGCGGGGGAUCAAAACAGG
rnacentral:rRNA from 1 species